CGGGCGCUGCACGUCGACGCGUUCUGCGUUCAACAGUACCCAUGGCGCGACCUCGUCUCCUUUUCCUGGCUAGCGUCGCCGCGACGCUCGUCUCCUUCGUCGCCGCUGGCGGCGGAGAGAGCAUGGGCGAGGGCGAUUGCGGCGAAAAGCAAACCUGGAAACUCAAACCGGGUGAGGAGAAGCGUUGCUGCACGUCGUUUCUCAUGAACGAUGUCGACAGAUUCGAAUACAAGGCUACCCCGGUCGUCUCCGGCUCGUGGGGGCCAGGAUCCAUCUCGUUCUGGGUCGAGGAGUACGACCAUUGGCAGGAUUUGACCCAGCCCACGAAGGUGCUUAAGGCGAGAUGCAACCUGAACGGAUCCGCGC
rnacentral:lncRNA from 1 species